AUCCAGGGCAUCACGAAACCGGCUAUC
rnacentral:sRNA from 1 species